rnacentral:rRNA from 1 species
CAAGAGCGUGGAGUAUGUGGCUUAAUUUGACUCAACGCGGAAAAGCUUAUCUGGUCCGGACGCAGUGAGGAUUGACAGACAGUUUCAGGAGUGGUUCUUGGUAAACAAUUGAGAGAGUUGAAGUUCUUUCAUGAUCUUGUGAGAGGUGGUGCAUGGCCGUUCUUAGUUCGUGUAGUGAUAUGUCUGCCUAAUCGCGUCACGAUAACCUAUUGGUCGACAACCCAAUUAUCACAACUGCAGCAUAACUCCCCUUGGGUGGGCGAGGCUCUGUGUAGGAUAAACCUCUGAACAGUACGCAACGAACGCGAUCGUAAUCCCUUGUUGAGUGGCCAUCCUGUAAGCUGCUGGAUUAGGAACCCAGUGGUAUUAUCUCAGCCACAGAUUUUCUGGUUGUAAUGGGCCAGUUUUGAAACUCGGGGAACAUCUGUGACUUUCUUUCUUAACGCAGAGGAAGGUUAUGGCAAUAACAG